rnacentral:rRNA from 1 species
UACGUAGGGUGCAAGCGUUGUCCGGAAUUAUUGGGCGUAAAGAGCUCGUAGGCGGUUUGUCGCGUCUGCUGUGAAAACCUAAGGCUCAACCUUGGGCUUGCAGUGGGUACGGGCAGACUAGAGUGCGGUAGGGGUGACUGGAAUUCCUGGUGUAGCGGUGGAAUGCGCAGAUAUCAGGAGGAACACCGAUGGCGAAGGCAGGUCUCUGGGCUGUAACUGACGCUGAGGAGCGAAAGCAUGGGGAGCGAACAGG